GACCUGAUAGCUCAGUUGGUAGAGCAUCUCCCUUUUAAGGAGAGGGUCCUGGGUUCGAGCCCCAGUCAGGUCACAA
rnacentral:tRNA from 10 species